CGAACGCUGGCGGCGUGCUUAACACAUGCAAGUCGAACGCGAACGUCUUCUUCGGAAGGCUAGUAGAGUGGCGCACGGGUGAGUAACGCGUAAGUAAUCUACCCUCGCAUUCGGGAUAACGCAGCGAAAGGUGUGCUAAUACCGAAUACGUCUAUUUUAAUAUCUUUUUUUUAGAGAAAGGUGGCCUCUUCAUGAAAGCUACUGUGCGGGGAGGAGCUUGCGUACCAUUAGCUAGUUGGUAGGGUAACGGCCUACCAAGGCAACGAUGGUUAGCGGGUCUGAGAGGAUGAUCCGCCACACUGGAACUGAAACACGGACCAGACUCCUACGGGAGGCAGCAGUGAGGAAUAUUGCGCAAUGGGGGCAACCCUGACGCAGCGACGCCGCGUGGAUGAUGAAGGCCUUCGGGUUGUAAAAUCCUGUCAGAUGGGAAGAAGUGCUAUAUGGUUAAUAUCUGUAUAGUUUGACGGUACCAUCAAAGGAAGCACCGGCUAACUCC
rnacentral:rRNA from 1 species